GUAUCUUUCGGCAGCACAUAUACUAAAAUUGGAAUGAUACAGAGAAGAUUAGCAUGGCCCCUGCGCAUGAACAGUUUUAUAAUCACAUCCAUUUCCUUAACUUU
ensembl:snRNA U6 U6 spliceosomal RNA